GUUUAUGUCUAGAUGCUGUGUAACAUCUGAUUGUAUUACUGUAUAGCUUGUUAUUCUCUUUGUUUGACCAUUUUGGGGUGAUAAUGAAAAUGCUACAAUUUGGUGUUCUGCUGAUGAUUAUUUCACAUGUUAGCGGUCAGUCAUUGACAUCCUCUGAUUCAGUAGUGAAGAAACCUGGAGAAUCAGUCACUCUGUCUUGUACUGUGUCUGGUUUCUCUAUGGGCAGCCACUGGAUGCAGUGGGUCCGUCAGAAACCACAGAGAGGACUGGAAUGGAUUGGAUAUAUAGAGACUGGCACAACUGCAUAUUAUGCUCAAUCUCUACAGGGUCAGUUCUCCAUCACCAAAGACAACAGUAAAAACAUGCUGCUUUUAGAAAUUAAAAAACUGAAGACUGAGGACACCGCUGUUUAUUAUUGUGCAAGAGACUCACAGUUAGUCAAAAAAUUGCAGCGCUACACAAAAACUGUUCAUGCAUGAAAUGCAUGCACUGAAGGCCUGACAGCUGUUGAACAGAAAAAAUUCAGAUAUUCAAUCAACUCUGCCCUGAUGAAAACUGUUUAGUUGAA